rnacentral:tRNA from 1 species
GCUCAGUUGGUAGAGUAUGAGACUGUUAAUCUCAGGGUCGUGGGUUCGAGCCCCAC